GUGCUCGCUUCGGCAGCACAUAUACUAAAAUUGGAACGAUACAGAGAAGAUUAGCAUGGCCCCUGUGCAAAAUAAGAAGGCCAAGUGUGGUAGCACACACCUAU
rnacentral:snRNA from 1 species